rnacentral:ncRNA from 1 species
GUAAAAGAAGUCGGCAAAUUCGAUCAGUCACUUCGGGAGAAGGGUUGGCUCUGGCGGACGAGUCAAACUGGCCGAGAUCAGAUACGUGUCGGUAAAAUUGGAGAGCUGGUUUCUCCGCUGCUUUGUGUGCUUUAGUGCGCAUUGUUGUGGAGUUACUAUACUCUGACCGUGAACGAUCGUGGGCAGUUUCAGCUGUUGGUGUUGUAUGACUAGCAACGCGCGUGGACUUGCUCUGCGUUGUAUCAAACGGCUGUGCUUCCAUUGUUUGGCGGGCGACGGCUAACUCAUAACUGGUACAGACCAGUGGAAUCCGACUUUUUAAUCAGAACAAAGCACUGUGACAUCCACUGACUGGUUAUGAAGCAAUGCGAUUUAUGCCCAGUGCUCUGAAUAUCAAAGUGAAGAAUUUCAAAUAAGCACGGGAAUACGGAUAUGGAUUUUUCCCCAUAGGUUGAUUCCUGAUAUGGUACAGUUUGUGU